rnacentral:rRNA from 1 species
GACGUAGGGGGCAAGCGUUGUCCGGAAUUAUUGGGCGUAAAGCGCUCGUAGGCGGAUCGGUAAGUCUGUGAAGAAAGACCCGGGCUCAACUCGGGGAACGGCAUAGAUACUGCUGAUCUUGAGACAGUCAGAGGAUGAUGGAAUUCCAGGUGUAGCGGUGAAAUGCGUAGAUAUCUGGAGGAACACCAGUGGCGAGGCGAUCAUCUGGGGCUGUUCUGACGCUGAGGAGCGAAAGCUAGGGGAGCAAACGGG